rnacentral:lncRNA from 1 species
GUUAGACAUGUUGAUAUGCUAACCUGAAUAUAAUCAGUUGGAUAUCAGAUCUGCUGAUUUAAAAAAGAUCUAAACCUAAAUCUUCUCACUAAAUAUUAAGUCUAUAGAUCUUCCAUCAUUGUAGAGAUGUGGGUGCCUUCCUAGCGUUGAUCGUUCUCGACUGGUUACAGUGAUUUGGUUGCAUCGAGAAGGUACAACCACUUUAUUGAUAUUUGAUGUCUCGGGGUAGAGAUGGGUUUGGGUCUAAUAACUGUUAGGUGAGGAUCUCAAUGAUGGUUUUGUACCUGUUGGUGAACGAUGGAUCUGACUUAACUAAGAAAUAUGCCAA